GAUCUUCGGAUCUAGUGGCGCACGGGUGCGUAACACGUGGGAAUCUGCCCUUUGGUUCGGAAUAACUCAGGGAAACUUGAGCUAAUACCGGAUGAUGACGUAAGUCCAAAGAUUUAUCGCCAAAGGAUGAGCCCGCGUAGGAUUAGCUAGUUGGUAGGGUAAAGGCCUACCAAGGCGACGAUCCUUAGCUGGUCUGAGAGGAUGAUCAGCCACACUGGGACUGAGACACGGCCCAGACUCCUACGGGAGGCAGCAGUGGGGAAUAUUGGACAAUGGGGGAAACCCUGAUCCAGCAAUGCCGCGUGAGCGAUGAAGGCCUUAGGGUUGUAAAGCUCUUUUACCCGGGAUGAUAAUGACAGUACCGGGAGAAUAAGCCCCGGCUAACUCCGUGCCAGCAGCCGCGGUAAUACGGAGGGGGCUAGCGUUGUUCGGAAUUACUGGGCGUAAAGCGCACGUAGGCGGCUAUUCAAGUCAGGGGUGAAAGCCCGGGGCUCAACCCCGGAAUUGCCCUUGAAACUAGAUAGCUAGAAUCAUGGAGAGGUGAGUGGAAUUCCGAGUGUAGAGGUGAAAUUCGUAGAUAUUCGGAAGAACACCAGUGGCGAAGGCGGCUCACUGGA
rnacentral:rRNA from 1 species